AAAAAGAGAUUUGCAUUAUAAUUUCAACCCUCAUCUCAUUGUCCUGGCUGUCCUGCUCAUCCUGCUGGCAGUGGUGGCCGAGGGGAUGGAGGUGGGACAGCAGCAAGAAGAUGCAAAGUGUCUCCUCCAGGAGCUCCAGCCCCACAACAUUUCUUUGUUCCUUUGGCUGCUCUGAGCCUCCCGUGGCUACAAAGGGCCUGGCUGGUCACAGGUUUGGAUGGGGGAAGGCACAGUGUCCUCUUUUUGGGGUUUUUUGGAGUUUUAUUUUGCUUUGGUUCACAGGUUUCACAGUGUUCCCUUUUUGGGGUUUUUGGGGUUUUUAUUGCUUUGGUUCAUGUUCUGGAAUUGCUGUGUGGGAAGGAAGGGCUGGGGAAUGGGUCAGGGCUUUGUGUUUGCAUUGCUGCCCUCUGAACCUGCCUUAAGCACCCCUUUAGUGGUGGCACCUUUGGAGGUGGCACCUUUGGUGGCACUUUGGGUAGUGGCACCUUUGGUGGUGGGAAAAAAGGAGCUGCUCUGCCCCUCUUCCUGCAGGGUGACCCUGGUUAAAACACCCCAAAAACCCCAAAACCCCAGAGACCAGCAAGAGGGGUUCC